rnacentral:rRNA from 1 species
GACGAACGCUGGCGGCGUGCUUAACACAUGCAAGUCGAACGAGCGGCGGACGGGUGAGUAAUGUAUGGGGACUGCCCGAUAGAGGGGGAUAACUACUGGAAACGGUGGCUAAUAACGCAUACUAUCGGAUAACCCAUAUGGGAUUAACUAGUAGGGUGGGUAAAGGCCCACCGAUGCGACGAUCGCUAGCUGGUCUGAGAGGAUGAUAAGCCACACUGGUACUGAGACACGGCCCAGACUCCUACGGAGGCAGCAGUGGGGAAUAUUGCACAAUGGGCGCAAGCCUGAUGCAGCCAUGCCGCGUGUAUGAAGAAGGCCUUAGGUUUGUAAAGUACUUUCAGCGGGGAGGCGUUACCCGCAGAAGAAGCACCGGCUAACUCCGUGCCAGCAGCCGCGGUAAUUG